AUUGAACGCUGGCGGAAUGCUUUACACAUGCAAGUCGAACGGCAGCACGGACUUCGGUCUGGUGGCGAGUGGCGAACGGGUGAGUAAUGUAUCGGAACGUGCCCAGUCGUGGGGGAUAACGAAGUGAAAAUUACGCUAAUACCGCAUACGAUCUAUGGAUGAAAGCGGGGGAUCGCAAGACCUCGCGCGAUUGGAGCGGCCGAUAUCAGAUUAGGUAGUUGGUGGGGUAAAGGCCCACCAAGCCAACGAUCUGUAGCUGGUCUGAGAGGACGACCAGCCACACUGGAACUGAGACACGGUCCAGACUCCUAGGGGAGGCAGCAGUGGGGAAUUUUGGACAAUGGGCGAAAGCCUGAUCCAGCCAUUCCGCGUGCAGGGUGAAGGCCCUCGGGUUGUAAACUGCUUUUGUACAGAACGAAAAGGUUUCUACUAAUACUAGGAGCUCAUGACGGUACUGUAAGAAUAAGCACCGGCUAACUACGUGCCAGCCGCCGCUGUAA
rnacentral:rRNA from 1 species